rnacentral:rRNA from 1 species
UACGUAGGGUGCGAGCGUUAAUCGGAAUUACUGGGCGUAAAGCGUGCGCAGGCGGUUAUUUAAGUCAGGUGUGAAAGCCCUGGGCUUAACCUAGGAAUUGCGCUUGAGACUGGAUAGCUUGGAGUGCGGCAGAGGGAGGUGGAAUUCCACGUGUAGCAGUGAAAUGCGUAGAGAUGAUGGAGGAACACCGAUGGCGAAGGCAGCCUCCUGGGCCAGCACUGACGCUCAUGCACGAAAGCGUGGGGAGCAAACAGG